GAUGAACGCUGGCGGCGUGCCUAAUACAUGCAAGUCGAGCGAACAGACGAGGAGCUUGCUCCUCUGACGUUAGCGGCGGACGGGUGAGUAACACGUGGAUAACCUACCUAUAAGACUGGGAUAACUUCGGGAAACCGGAGCUAAUACCGGAUAAUAUAUUGAACCGCAUGGUUCAAUAGUGAAAGACGGUUUUGCUGUCACUUAUAGAUGGAUCCGCGCCGCAUUAGCUAGUUGGUAAGGUAACGGCUUACCAAGGCAACGAUGCGUAGCCGACCUGAGAGGGUGAUCGGCCACACUGGAACUGAGACACGGUCCAGACUCCUACGGGAGGCAGCAGUAGGGAAUCUUCCGCAAUGGGCGAAAGCCUGACGGAGCAACGCCGCGUGAGUGAUGAAGGUCUUCGGACCGUAAAACUCUGUUAUUAGGGAAGAACAAAUGUGUAAGUAACUAUGCACGUCUUGACGGUACCUAAUCAGAAGGCCACGGCUAACUACGUG
rnacentral:rRNA from 1 species